rnacentral:misc_RNA from 1 species
GAUGAAGAACGUAGUGAAAUGCGAUAAGUAGUGUGAAUUGCAGAAUUCAGUGAAUCAUCGAAUCUUUGAACGCACAUUGCGCCCUUUGGUAUUCCUUAGGGCAUGCCUGUUCGAGCGUCAUUUGAACCCUCAAGCUCAGCUUGGUGUUGGGUGUCUGUCCCCGCCUCCGCGGGGACUCGCCUCAAAAUCAUUGGCGGCCGGUACGUUGGCUUCGAGCGCAGCAGAAACGCGAACUCGAGGCCCGGCGGAUCGGCGACCAGAAGUCUCUUCUUCACAGUUUGACCUCGGAUCAGGUAGGGAUACCCGCUGAACUUAAGCAUAUCAAUAAGCGGAGGA